UAGGGAAUCUUCGGCAAUGGGGGCAACCCUGACCGAGCAACGCCGCGUGAGUGAAGAAGGUUUUCGGAUCGUAAAGCUCUGUUGUUAAGGAAGAACGAGUGUGAGAAUGGAAAGUUCAUACUGUGACGGUACUUAACCAGAAAGGGACGGCUAACUACGUGCCAGCAGCCGCGGUAAUACGUAGGUCCCGAGCGUUGUCCGGAUUUAUUGGGCGUAAAGCGAGCGCAGGCGGUUAGAAAAGUCUGAAGUGAAAGGCAGUGGCUCAACCAUUGUAGGCUUUGGAAACUGUUUAACUUGAGUGCAGAAGGGGAGAGUGGAAUUCCAUGUGUAGCGGUGAAAUGCGUAGAUAUAUGGAGGAACACCGGUGGCGAAAGCGGCUCUCUGGUCUGUAACUGACGCUGAGGCUCGAAAGCGUGGGGAGCGAACAGGAUUAGAUACCCUGGUAGUCCACGCCGUAAACGAUGAGUGCUAGGUGUUAGGUCCUUUCCGGGACUUAGUGCCGCAGCUAACGCAUUAAGCACUCCGCCUGGGGAGUACGACCGCAAGGUUG
rnacentral:rRNA from 1 species